AUUGAACGCUGGCGGCAUGCCUUACACAUGCAAGUCGAACGGUAACAGGUUAAGCUGACGAGUGGCUAACGGGUGAGUAAUGUAUCGGAACGUGCCCAGUCGUUGGGGAUAACUGCUCGAAAGAGCAGCUAAUACCGCAUACGACCUGAGGGUGAAAGCGGGGGAUCGCAAGACCUCGCGCGAUUGGAGCGGCCGAUAUCAGAUUAGGUAGUUGGUGAGGUAAAGGCUCACCAAGCCGACGAUCUGUAGCUGGUCUGAGAGGACGACCAGCCACACUGGGACUGAGACACGGCCCAGACUCCUACGGGAGGCAGCAGUGGGGAAUUUUGGACAAUGGGCGCAAGCCUGAUCCAGCCAUGCCGCGUGCGGGAAGAAGGCCUUCGGGUUGUAAACCGCUUUUGUCAGGGAAGAAAAGGUUCUGGCUAAUACCUGGGACUCAUGACGGUACCUGAAGAAUAAGCACCGGCUAACUACGUG
rnacentral:rRNA from 1 species